UACGUAGGGUGCAAGCGUUGUCCGGAAUUAUUGGGCGUAAAGAGCGUGUAGGCGGCCUGGUAGGUCAGCUGUGAAAACUCGAGGCUCAACCUCGAGACGCCGGUUGAAACCAUCAGGCUAGAGUCCGGAAGAGGAGAGUGGAAUUCCCGGUGUAGCGGUGAAAUGCGCAGAUAUCGGGAAGAACACCCGUGGCUAAGGCGGCUCUCUAGUACGGUACUGACGCUGAGACGCGAAAGCGUGGGGAGCGAACAGG
rnacentral:rRNA from 1 species